CAAUAGCGUAUAUUAAAGUUGUUGCAGUUAAAAAGCUCGUAGUUGGAUUUCUGAGAGGAUGCCAAUGUCCUUCGUUGAAGUGUGCAGCGGCGUCCUUUCAUCCUUCUGUUAACACCUCUUGGCAUUCGUUUGCUGGUGGUGGGCUCAAAUAUUUUACCUUGAGAAAAUUAGAGUGUUUCAGGCAGGCUAGGCCGGAAUACAUUAGCAUGGAAUAGUGGAAUAGGACUACGGUCUCUUUGUUGGUUUGAGGGACUGCAGUAAUGAUUAAUAGGGAUAGUUGGGGGCAUUAGUAUUUAAUUGUCAGAGGUGGAAUUCUCGGAUUUGUUAAAGACUAACUUAUGCGAAAGCAUUUGCCAAGGAUGUUUUCAUUAA
rnacentral:rRNA from 1 species